AAACAUGUUGCAGUCAGGCGCGAGAGCGUUUGAACCUAGCUCUGUUGCUUCUGUCCCCUUGGGUAAAAUUUAACCUCUCUGAACUCCCAAAAUGGGGAAGAGAGUAUUAACAGAGCAUCUUUCAGCAUCAGCUGAGCUGUAGCCACCAUUUCACUGCAACUCCACGAGGACCCAAAGCUAGAGGUAUCCAGCUGGAGUCCUGCUGAAUUCCUGACCCACAGAAGCCACAUGAGGGACGUCUUUGAGACAGUGUAUCCAUCAGAACAGGCUAUGUCAUGCUGUAGGAACAAGUAUCCCAACACUCAGUGGCAGACACAGCCAACAUCUCUCUGUCUCGUGCUACACAUCUG